rnacentral:rRNA from 1 species
GACGAACGCUGGCGGCGUGCCUAAUACAUGCAAGUAGAACGCAGUUGCUAACGGGCGAGUAACUAGUAUGUAACUGCUUGCUAGUGGGGGAUGACUAUUGGAAACGAUAGCUAAUACUGCAUACUGCUAUAUGGACCUGCGUUGUAUUAGCUAGUUGGGUGGGUAACGGCUCACCAAGGCAACGCUACAUAGGCGACCUGAGUGGGGGAGCGGCCACACUGGGACUUGGACACGGGCCAGACUCCUACGGGAAGCAGCAGGAGGGAAUGUUCGGCAAUGGACGGAAGUCUGGACGAGCAAAGCCGGGUGAGUGGAGAAGGUUUUCGGAUCGUAAAGCUCUGUUGUAAGAGAAGCGGUAUCUUACCAGAAAGGGACGGCUAACUACGUGCCAGCCGCCGCGGUAAUUC